rnacentral:rRNA from 1 species
GACGAACGCUGGCGGCGUGCUUAACACAUGCAAGUCGAACGGAAAGGCCCUGCUUUUGUGGGGUGCUCGAGUGGCGAACGGGUGAGUAACACGUGAGUAACCUGCCCUUGACUUUGGGAUAACUUCAGGAAACUGGGGCUAAUACCGGAUAGGAGCUCCUGCUGCAUGGUGGGGGUUGGAAAGUUUCGGCGGUUGGGGAUGGACUCGCGGCUUAUCAGCUUGUUGGUGGGGUAGUGGCUUACCAAGGCUUUGACGGGUAGCCGGCCUGAGAGGGUGACCGGCCACAUUGGGACUGAGAUACGGCCCGGACUCCUACGGGAGGCAGGAGUGGGGAAUAUUGCACAAUGGGCGGAAGCCUAAUGCAACAACGCCGCGUGCGGGAUAACGGCCUUCGGGUUGUAAACCGCUUUCGCCUGUGACGAAGCGUGAGUGACGGUAAUGGGUAAAGAAGCACCGGCUAACUACGUG